UUUCUAUGCAAUGAUUCAAUCCCAGGAUGCAUUGUGUUGGCACACUGAACUUCUUUGCACCUGAAAAGCAGGAAGUGAAUGCUCUGCAGGUGUAAGUAUUUCAAAUAUAACAGCAUUAAACCUGACAUGUCUAUCU